UGGAACUGAAAUACUUUUUAAAUCAUAUUUUAAGUAGGAACCACCCAAUCUGGUAUUUUGUUCUGGGAUAUUGAAAAGUAUCAACAGGAUUAUGCUACCUUAUUGGUGGUUCAUGUUUCCUUGUUUUCAAACUGCACAUAUGUAAGAUAUGGAUGGAGUGUCAGUCUGCUUCUUUAAACAUGGUUUUGGAUACAUGCAUUGCUGUAAAUAUUUUUUCUUUAAUGAGUAGGCAUGUGUAGCUGUAGUCUUAUGCCAGUUCUGUUAUUCCAUUAUGUAUAUGUGUAUACAUGUGUGCACACACCUGUGAGCAUGCGCGCACGUGUGUGUGUGUUUGCAUGCAUGUGUGAAUCUCCUCUUGCAGUGAUUCCAUGAACAUUAUACAUUUCUAGGGACUUGUUGGAACCAUGCGUUGGUUCACAUAUGUAAAUUGUGUACAUUCUUAUUUACUUGGAUGUCCAAGUAACAACCUCUAUUCUGUAUGGUGAUGCUAUAAAUGUUAUGCAUUUCCAGUCCUCUUUGGGAACCAUAACUGAUGAAAUUUUGCAGAGGGAUUACAUAAAUACUUCACAUCCAAAUUUUAUUGGUGGCAGUAGGGCUGAAGAGAUUGCACACCAGCAAGUAAAGUGUUCUAGGUCAUUGGCAUCAGUGCCUAAAUUUAAGGAAGUAUGACCGGACGAAGCUGGGGCACUUCAUCAAUUUUUGGUUCCAGUGAAAAUCAUGCACCUGCAAGAGAGAGUUCUACACAAAAGUCUUAUAGUGAUCUAGCUCACAACAUGGAUCAUUCAUUUUCUAUGAUCCAAUUAAGAGAGCCACCCAUCAUCUUGAAGCCCUCACAAAACCGGCAGAGCAGGAGGCUGUGGAGAUAGCUAUCACAAAAUUGUUGUUGAAGUCAUUUUAUGGCACGUGAGGAAAAACAUUCAGGAUUUGGUACCUAAGGCACUUAUGCACUUCCUGAAAGGGUGAAGCAGUUUACCCCUUGCUGUCCUAUUUACUAAACAAGGAAAGGAAUGAAAAGAAUAGAAAAAGAGUAAGAAAGAAGCUCACCUACCAAAUACAAUGAUGAGUUGCUAGCUGUUAGUCUGCUCUGUUUUCUGGCCAGUGGGCAAUUGGGAAAAGGCAGUGAUUCUAGAGACAAUGAAGAACCUUUUCCUUUUAAUGGUGAGAUAAUUAUCUGCAUAACAAGAGUUGUAUUUUUCCAGUCAGAGAAAUGUUUGGCUACUAUCAUUAUCGAAAU